UGCCAGCCGCCGCGGUAAUACGAAGGGGGCGAGCGUUGUUCGGAAUUACUGGGCGUAAAGGGCGCGUAGGCGGUCUUUUAAGUUAGGCGUGAAAGCCCCGGGCUCAACCCGGGAACUGCGCUUAAUACUGGAAGACUAGAAAACGGAAGAGGGUAGUGGAAUUCCCAGUGUAGAGGUGAAAGUCGUAGAUAUUGGGAAGAACACCAGUGGCGAAGGCGGCUCACUGGCUCGAUACUGAAGCUGAGUUGCGAAAGCGUGGGGAGAAAACAGGAUUAGAUA
rnacentral:rRNA from 1 species